rnacentral:lncRNA from 7 species
CUUAGUAGCAAGUUUCGACAUUACGUUAUAACCUGGCUCUGUGGUUGAAGCUGUGCCACAAACAGAAGACACAUAAUUCAUUUAGCUAGUAUGAGACCACCGAGACUGAAACUGUGGUUUAAGUGUUUGUCCAGCAGAGGGAAGUCGUAGCCUCUGGCUGUAUUACAAGCUCUUUCAGAGCAGAAAUCCAGUGGCUUUAAGAUGCAAUGAAUAAGCAGCCUUGACCAUCUGUUUUCUCUCACUGGUCAGGAUCCUUUGAGUCGUGAUUUCAGGUGUAGAAAUUUGGUACCUGUGUCUUAGCGUGUCAUUCUAGUCUUCUUUACAGAGAAAAACAAUUUGUUUUCUACCAUCGGUUGAGAUGCAUUUUGCACUGAAGCUCUCUCCAGUGGCUAUAAAAGGAACCUAGGUAACUAGUUUAGACACAGGAAUUUCACAGGUCAGCACUUAGAUUAAGCCACACAAAUUUUAAUCCUGUUGGCCGUAGCUGCCAACACAACAUUGGUGUUAGGAUGAGAAACAUCAAUCUUGCUACCCUUUUGCCUGUUUCUUCCACUGAGUUGCUGCAGACUGACAAUUAGGACAUAGCAAAUAACUUAAUAUCAGCAUAAUGGCCAUUAUGCUCUCAGGUAGUUGAAGAAACAAAACAUCUUUGUAGAGAGGCUUUCCCUUUCCUUUGUCUAGCGUAUUGCUUUAUAAUAACAUUUAUUCCUGUAGUUAAAGCCAUUUUUUUUUUCUGCAAUUGACUCUCUGUACUUUAAGGUUUCCGUGGCAAGCGAUUGCUGUAUUUUGUGCUUUCCACAGAAAAUAUAACCAACUAAUCAUGCCCUGGAGUGUCUCUGCUUACUUUCCUGCUUCCUCAUAUUCUGCCAGGGCAGGAAGGAAAGCCUGCAGUGAUAGUUGUAGGGUGUAUUUGCAAGCAGUUACUGUGUGUAAACUUGUUAUCUAGCCUCGAGCUGGCAGAACAGAUGAGUGGAUGAUGUGUUGCUGCUGCCACUGUGUAUUGUUUAUCCAUUUUACAUUUCCUCAAACACGACAUCUUCUUGUGGCUUUGCUUUCCUUAGUUAUCAAGAAAUAGGUAUGUUUUAUAGACCUAGCCAUGCUAAAGGCUGAAAUGGCUUUGUGGAGUUGUUGGGGGAUGAAAGGCUUGUCCAGUACCACUCUACCAAACUCUAACCUUGUCAGAUCUGGUGGAGAAAGGUGCAACGCCUACUCUUCAGGCUUCCUGGAAAGCUGAACCUCUAAUGUAAUGCUCAGACUGUGAGGAGAUCUAUGAAAUUUCUUGUAACAAAUCCUCCCAAAUUGGCAACAUCUGUCCAUCUGCUCAGCACUAAUUGCAUCCAGAAAAAAAAUUGCACGUAAGGCUGGAAAUAAGGGAGUGGUGCAUACUGGAGAAGAGGAAGCAGACAGCACAUCCUGCAGAAGAAAACUAAGCGUCCCCAAAUCUCAUGCAUUUCAUUACUUAAUACAUUUGACAGCCUUUCUUGUACAUUCUGGGACCCAAAGGUUUAAACCUCUUUGAUUUUUAUCUACAUUCCCAGAAUGUCCCUGGCCUAACCCUUUAGUUCUUCUUUAGUUUAUACACACCCAAGCUGACUAAACAUGAUUGAUGCCCACUUGUGUCUUCAGGGUAAACAGAGACAUCCCUUCACCUUGGCUUUGUUCCUCUGAGUCUGUAGAAACACUGGGGAUACAACAUCAGCAGUGCAAGGACACAGAUUGUAGCUGUUGGCUGGAGAAAACUAGAAAGAUCUUGCUUACCUCAUGCAUGACUAGCUGUGAUCUAAGUCAAGACAUGCUUCAUGUUGUAUACUGCUAUAUCAAAUGGCUGGUUUUUGCAACAAGACAACUGGAAAAUAUUAUAAAAGGAUCUCAGCCUGAAAAUUGCCAGUAGACACAGAAUUCCCUGAGGAGAAGUUCCAGAGUGGGAUGUGGACCUCAGUACACCACCACACAUGAGUAAGUGAUGAGGCAGGUGUGGAAGUUAGCUGUCCCCUGGGCAAAACAGGCCGUCACAAACUGAAGCACAAGAUCAAGAUAAGACUGUCACUGUGCAAGUCUCUGCUGCCCUGGAGCUAAUGAGCACAAUCUGUUUUUGCAAAUGAUUUCAUACUUUUGUUCUUUAUUAUGAACAUAUACAGCACUUAAGUGUUUUCAGUAUUGGCUGACUCCAGUAUUUUGUAGUCACGAUUGUGGUAUUUAAACAGGAGGUGAUCUGUUCUGCACAUGGAAAAGGGGCUGUGUUACAGAGGAAAUAAUAAAGUGUUGCUGGGUUUUG